rnacentral:pre_miRNA from 1 species
UCUCAGGCUGUGACCCUCUACAGGGAGGCGCUUUCUGUUGUCUGAAAGAAAGGAAAGUGCAUUCUUUUAGAGUGUUAACUGUUUGAGA